AGUGAACGCUGGCGGUAGGCCUAACACAUGCAAGUUGAACGGCAGCACAGUAAGAGCUUGCUCUUACGGGUGGCGAGUGGCGGAUGGGUGAGGAAUACAUCGGAAUCUACUUUUUCGUGGGGGAUAACGUAGGGAAACUUACGCUAAUACCGCAUACGACCUACGGGUGAAAGCAGGGGAUCUUCGGACCUUGCGCGAUUGAAUGAGCCGAUGUCGGAUUAGCUAGUUGGCGGGGUAAAGGCCCACCAAGGCGACGAUCCGUAGCUGGUCUGAGAGGAUGAUCAGCCACACUGGAACUGAGACACGGUCCAGACUCCUACGGGAGGCAGCAGUGGGGAAUAUUGGACAAUGGGCGCAAGCCUGAUCCAGCCAUACCGCGUGGGUGAAGAAGGCCUUCGGGUUGUAAAGCCCUUUUGUUGGGAAAGAAAAGCAGCAGGUUAAUACCCCGCUGUUCUGACGGUACCCAAAGAAUAAGCACCGGCUAACUUCGUG
rnacentral:rRNA from 1 species